rnacentral:misc_RNA from 1 species
AAGUCGUAACAAGGUUUCCGUAGGUGAACCUGCGGAAGGAUCAUUACCGAGUGGCGCGAAAUUCCUGUCGUGAGACGGGGGAAGCUACCCGACCUUUUGUCAUUUUGUCAAGUCUGGCUGGCGGGAUUGCAUUCGUGAGAAGCGAAUGUGGAUUUCGGCAGACGGACCAAAACUUCGGCGGAAGAGGUAGGCGUGGACCUGCCCGCCGCCGGCCGUAGAAGACAAUAUACGUUCUUGAGAGCAAACUGAAGUCUAAGACGAUCCUUGAAAAAGGAAUAUCAAAAAAAAAGCAAAACUUUCAACAACGGAUCUCUUGGCUCUG